rnacentral:misc_RNA from 1 species
ACGUAUCUCCGGCGGGUGCCUCUGCGCCCUGCUCCGGCCUCAACGGGCCGUGCAGCGGGUGAAGCCGGCCCUGUCCAACCUUUACAAACCCACCGUGCACAUUGACGGCAGAAGGGCCCUCUUAGUGGGGCUCGGAAGCCGCUUCCACAAACUCGUAAACAACCUGAAUGUCUAGCGUCCUCUGUGUCGCCUAAAUUUGAAA